GUGUCAGCCGCCGCGGUAAUACAGAGGGUGCAAGCGUUAAUCGGAAUUACUGGGCGUAAAGCGAGCGUAGGUGGCUUGAUAAGUCAGAUGUGAAAGCCCCGGGCUUAACCUGGGAACGGCAUCUGAUACUGUUAGGCUAGAGUAGGUGAGAGGAAGGUAGAAUUCCAGGUGUAGCGGUGAAAUGCGUAGAGAUCUGGAGGAAUACCGAUGGCGAAGGCAGCCUUCUGGCAUCAUACUGACACUGAGGUUCGAAAGCGUGGGUAGCAAACAGGAUUAGAUACCCUGGUAGUCCACGCCGUAAACGAUGUCUACUAGUCGUUGGGUCCCUUGAGGACUUAGUGACGCAGCUAACGCAAUAAGUAGACCGCCUGGGGAGUACGGCCGCAAGGUUAAA
rnacentral:rRNA from 1 species